UCCAUUGGGGUGGGGGUACCCCGGGAACUGGGGAAAUACUCCAUAGGCUACGGAAGCUGGAAUGCUCUGUAACCGAAAGCUCCGGCGCCCUAGGAUGGGUCUGCGGCCGAUUAGGUUGUUGUUGGGGUAACGGCCCAACAAGCCUUUGAUCGGUACGGGUUGUGGGAGCAAGAGCCCGGAGAUGGAUUCUGAGACACGAAUCCAGGCCCUACGGGGCGCAGCAGGCGCGAAAACUUUACAAUGCGAGAAAUCGUGAUAAGGGAACCCCGAGUGCCCGUAAAUUCGGGCUGUCCGCCAGUGUAAAUAACUGGUGAAGAAAGGGCCGGGCAAGACCGGUGCCAGCCGCCGCGGUAAUACCGGCGGCUCGAGUGGUGGCCGCUAUUACUGGGCUUAAAGCGUCCGUAGCUGGGUUGUUAAGUCUCCUGGGAAAUCCAUCGGCUCAACCGAUGGGCGUUCAGGAGAUACUGGCGACCUAGGGACCGGGAGAGGUGAGAGGUACUCCAGGGGUAGGAGUGAAAUCCUGUAAUCCUUGGGGGACCACCUGUGGCGAAGGCGUCUCACCAGAACGGCUCCGACAGUGAGGGACGAAAGCUGGGGGAGCAAACCGGAUUAGAUACCCGGGUAGUCCCAGCUGUAAACGAUGCGCGUUAGGUGUAUCGGUGACCACGAGUCACCGAGGUGCCGAAGAGAAAUCGUGAAACGUGCCGCCUGGGAAGUACGGUUGCAAGGCUGAAACUUAAAGGAAUUGGCGGGGGAGCAC
rnacentral:rRNA from 1 species